AUUAGCUAGUUGGUAAGGUAACGGCUUACCAAGGCAACGAUGCGUAGCCGACCUGAGAGGGUGAUCGGCCACACUGGAACUGAGACACGGUCCAGACUCCUACGGGAGGCAGCAGUAGGGAAUCUUCCGCAAUGGGCGAAAGCCUGACGGAGCAACGCCGCGUGAGUGAUGAAGGUCUUCGGAUCGUAAAACUCUGUUAUUAGGGAAGAACAAAUGUGUAAGUAACUAUGCACGUCUUGACGG
rnacentral:rRNA from 1 species